rnacentral:rRNA from 1 species
GGUAACAUCAAAUCGUACCCCAAACCGACACAGGUGGUCAGGUAGAGAAUACCAAGGCGCUUGAGAGAACUCGGGUGAAGGAACUAGGCAAAAUGGUGCCGUAACUUCGGGAGAAGGCACGCUGGUGUGUAGGUGAAGCCCCUGCGGGUGGAGCUGAGACCAGUCGAAGAUACCAGCUGGCUGCAACUGUUUAUUAAAAACACAGCACUGUGCAAACACGAAAGUGGACGUAUACGGUGUGACGCCUGCCCGGUGCCGGAAGGUUAAUUGAUGGGGUUAUCCGUAA